AUCCCUAAUCUUUGGGUCCCCCUCCCACCAAGGUUUCACUGAUGUCUCUCUGCUUUUACCUGGCCUGGUUGGCUCUUUCUUGACUUUCUGAUCUCUGCCCACGGCAUCCCUGUCUUAUCAUCUUUUCUGAGUCAUCCCUUCCUGGCGUGGUUUUAUACGUUUGUUGUUUAUUGACAUCCCACAUACACUUGAGAGCAAACAUCUCCUUUGUCAUCUUCACCCUACAUCCUGGUUGCAGUGCUCUGUCACAUGGGAAGGCCUCCAUCUUCAUUGCUCAGUCAACAUGGUCUGGGACCAACCCCGCUCUCUCUGAACCCCCUUCACUCUCCAUGGCCUCCAUUCCCCCAUCUCUGUGCUCACUCUGCUCUCACACACACCCCUCCCGGCCAUCCUCCUCCUUCUGCCCUCAGCGCUGUCAUUACUCUGGCUCUCCCGCCUCUAGGAAGGAAGCCUGCUAUUGAGACCAGCAUCUGCGCGCAGUUACUCUCCUUCUUGUCUGUCCCUGACAGCCUUUCAUUCCAAGUCAAAACAGCGGUGAGUCAGUGAGGUAUCCUCUCAGUGUCUCCCAGUGGCAAGAGAAAGACAGCGCACGCCUGAUCAAAACACAGCUAUCGGACCACUUGGGGGAGCUUGCACAGUUCCUGCCGCCUCCUAGGCUCCCAGGGAGCCUGCUAUAGGCUCUCGUGGAUGCACUGGAACCUGAAGUGUUCCCAGUACGCAAUGCCCUGAUCUUGACCUCUGACUGCUCAGCAUGUUUUGGACCAUCUGCUUAAAGCCAAAAAUGCAGAAAUGUGUGGACUACACCUUUACCUGUGUGAAGAUGUGUCACUGUGAUUGGUUUAAUAAAAAGGUAAAUGGCCAAUAGCCAGGGAGGAGGUAUAGCAGGAACUUCUGGGCAGAGAAAGCGCUGGGAAGAAGGAAGGCAGAGUCACCAGCCAGAUGAAGAGGUGAGCAAGACGCGCAGGAGAAGAGGUAAAGGUCAUGAGUCGUGCAGUAGCACAUAAAUUAAUAGAAAUUAAUUGAUGCAAGUUAUAAGA